GACGAACCACACAAACGUUAUUCGGAAUUACUGGGCUUAAAGGGUGCGUAGGCUGCGCAGCAAGUUGGGUGUGAAAUCCCUCGGCUCAACCGAGGAACUGCGCCCAAAACUACUGUGCUCGAGGAAGAUAGAGGUGAGCGGAACUUACGGUGGAGCGGUGAAAUGCGUUGAUAUCGUAAGGAACACCUGUGGCGAAAGCGGCUCACUGGGUCUUUUCUGACGCUGAUGCACGAAAGCUAGGGGAGCAAACGGG
rnacentral:rRNA from 1 species